rnacentral:lncRNA from 1 species
AUUUUUCGAUCAAACUGACUUCUGAGUAACGGGCAAACCACAGAAUAAACAUGUUAAAUGUGAAUUGAAAAUUAGAUUAUACGAGUUUCUCAUAUACUAUGUUCCUAAUUUUGUCAUUUCUUUUUAAAGGGAGACGGAUUUAUAUAAGUUUUUCUUGUUUCCGAAUCCCUGUAUUUAUAUUGUAUUAUUAUAUUUCAUGCACUUUUUUGAAUAAAUAUUGUUUAACUAAU